CCCCUCUCAGAGUCGUGCCUGGAGAGUUUCCAGUACUCUACCAGUCUCAGCUAUGGGAGAGAGUAUCAAGCAGAGGCCUAUCCAUUUCAUUCCUAGCUUCGCCAGUGGCUAGCGAGUGGAAGGCAAUCUGCUACAAGU